GUCCACGAGUCUGGGAACCCUGGAGACCACCGGCGGCGGAUAGCCGCGAAAUCCCGAGGUGGUUAACCGGGUCUCACGGCGGCGGCGAGGAGAGGGAGCGCUAGCCUGGGGUGCGCGAGCCCGGCGCAGCCCGCUGGGAGCACAGGGGCGCGGGCGCGAGCGCGCGGAUGGAGGACGCGUGGCCGGCCGGCUCGGAGCGGAGGCGGAAGCGGCCGAGUUGCGGGGGCGGCCCGGGUGACGCUGCGGCCCUUCGAGCCCUUCUCCAGGGCGGCGGCGACUGGAGCUUCAUCUGCUGCGAGAAAGAGGAGGUGGACCUACAGGACCUGCCCAGCGCCACCAUCGCCUGCCACCUGGACCCCCGCGUGUUCCUGGACGGCCUGUGCCGGCUUUACAGCAGCCAGCUCCUUUUUCUGAUGAAAUUGAAGUUGACUUUAGUAAGCCCUAUGUCAGGGUAACUAUGGAAGAAGCCAGCAAAGGAACACCUUGUUGCCAGAACUACUAACUUCUACCAAUUGAAGGACAGGGUUGCUGAAACCAGUGAAAUCUGUUUUCAAGGCCUAUGUCGGAAUUGUAUGCUGGACGUGAAGGUACAUACUUGUAAUUCCAGUGACGGGAGAUUGAGGCAAGAAGAUUUCAGGUUACAGUGUUGUUGUAAAGAUUCCCACAGGAGCAACAAACAUUGAAAUUCUUCAGCACAGCUAUUCUGGAAAACCAGAAGAUGACAAUCACCUCGGUAAACAUUUUUGCCCUAUCUGAUGCCCAAGGGAAUUUUCUUUUAAAUGGAGGUUUUGUUGUGAGUAUGUUAAAAGAAGAAAUAAACAUACAAGGAGCUCUUUUUGAAUACAGUGUAUCAAACAACUCAAUUGAAAGAAUUAACAGUACUGAUCGAUUGGAAGAAGAACUUGUUUUACAGGUGGCUAUGUAUGGGUAAUUUAUACAACCCUGAUGUACGAUAUUCCUUCCAUGUCCCUGUGGAGGAUACAAGUGACCUGUUCACAUGGGAGCACAUGGACCAUGACAAGACUGUACCAAAAUGUGUCAAGGUACCCCGUUUUUAAAAAGAGAUGGUGGUUUAACUACAUGCUGUUGUCAUUCAGUCCCUUUGAGUCGGGCUGCUAUGGAAUCCUCCUCCUUUCCAUAUGACACACAGACAAAAGUAUAGUUUUAUUUUCUCCUUACUUUUCCCUCUCUUUGUGUUUCUUACUUAACAGCCCCCACUUAAAACUACCCUUUUCAACUGUUCCUGGUACAUUUUCACAUUCUUAUUCUCAUUCUCUUUCUCUCUCUUCCUUAUUUGUUUUUGCAAUUGCAGACAUUUUCUCUAACUUAGUUACAUCCCUCUUCCUAGUGAAAUACCUACCUUCUCAUCCACUCUUCUCCACACACUUUUUCUUAGCAACCUGUCUCCCUCUUUUUGUGUUGAGAUUUCAAACAUUGUGUCAUUCUUUCAUUUCCCUUCCCUGGUUGUGUACUGGUGGCUUGAAUGACUGAAAGGAACAGAGAAGAAAUGGAAGAGAAAUUUAUAGUUGGGACAGCAAAUGGGAAGACUAGAGUCUUUGUGUAGUGCAUAAUUAUGGAUGCUUAGUUGUGCAAUACAUGUUCAAUGAAGGACAUUUAUUGAGGGGUUGCUUUGUUUUAGGUCAUUAAUGAGACCCCAGUUAUGCAUUCAGGUUUUAAAGUCUAGUGGAUGCAACAGAAGCAUGAGUAGAAAUCAUAAUGUUAAAUAGUAGUAUAAUAGUAAUAAAAUGGUAAAUGCAAUACCUUAUCAUUGUGUGUUUCAGAGAUGAUUAGAGAAAGAAGGUGUGAGUAGACUGAAGCUGAGGUAUAGAGAAGAUGUAUGGAAUGGAGAAGUCAUUUUCUUUGAGAAUAGAGAGAAAGCUUAAGAAUAGGGGAAAACAGUGGUCAGAGGAAAGGAAGCCUAGAGUAGCAUGGAGAUGAUCCUAUAGGAGGAAGCAGGUGACCAGAGGCAGUGGCCACAGAUGAUAAGAAUGUGAGGAACAGUCUAGUUAACUGAUGUGACCAGGUUCCACAGGAACUGUGCUGCUUCAUUCAGGAAGAGGCCCACCUGUGGUCCUGUCGCUUUGGGACAGUGAUGCACAGAGUAAUUGAAUGGGAACAGGCAUUCCUGAAACUGCUUGGGCAGUGUCACCAAGAAGGGUGUGGUAGUGGGUGACUACCAGGUCAGCUGGAAUAAAUGCUAAAGUAGAAACAGUGGCUUUGGUAAUGCAGAAGGAAGAACUAACUUGGUGGAAAGGCCCUGGGUGUACUUUAUUGAAGAGUAUUGGAA